rnacentral:rRNA from 1 species
AGAGUUUGAUCCUGGCUCAGAAUGAACGCUGGCGGCGUGCUUAACACAUGCAAGUCGAACGAUGAAUCCUAGCUUGCUAGGAGGAUUAGUGGCGCACGGGUGAGUAAUAUAUAGAUAAUGUACCUCUUAGUCUGGGAUAGCCAUUGGAAACGAUGAUUAAUACUAGAUACUCCUUCUCUUUAUAAUGAGAGUUGGGAAAGUUUUUCGCUAAGAGAUCAGUCUAUAUCCCAUCAGCUUGUUGGUAGUGUAAGAGACUACCAAGGCUAUGACGGGUAGCGGGUUUGAGAGGAUGAUCCGCCACACUGGUACUGAGACACGGACCAGACUCCUACGGGAGGCAGCAGUGAGGAAUAUUGCACAAUGGAGGAAACUCUGAUGCAGCAACGCCGCGUGGAGGAUGACACAUUUCGGUGCGUAAACUCCUUUUAUAAGGGAAGAAAAUGACGGUACCUUAUGAAUAAGCACCGGCUAACUCCGUGCCAGCAGCCGCGGUAAUACGGAGGGUGCAAGCGUUAUUCGGAAUCACUGGGCGUAAAGGGUAUGUAGGCGGGUUUUUAAGUCUGAUGUGAAAUCCUAUGGCUCAACCAUAGAACUGCUUUCAAAACUGUUAACCUAGAAUAUGGGAGAGGUAGAUGGAAUUUCUGGUGUAGGGGUAAAAUCCGUAGAGAUCAGAAGGAAUACCGAUUGCGAAGGCGAUCUACUGGAACAUUAUUGACGCUGAGACGCGACAGCGUGGGGAGCAUGCAGGAUUAGAUACCCUGGUAGUCCACGCCCUAAACGAUGCACACUAGUUGUUGCUAUGCUAGACAUAGCAGUAAUGCAGUUAACACAUUAAGUGUGCCGCCUGGGGAGUACGGUCGCAAGAUUAAAACUCAAAGGAAUAGACGGGGACCCGCACAAGCGGUGGAGCAUGUGGUUUAAUCCGACUAUACGCGAAGAACCUUACCUGGACUUGACAUAGAAAGAACUUAUCAGAGAUGAUUUGGUGCUAGUUUACUAGAGCUUUCAUACAGGUGCUGCACGGCUGUCGUCAGCUCGUGUCGUGAGAUGUUGGGUUAAGUCCCGCAACGAGCGCAACCCUCGUGUUUAGUUACUAACAGUUCGGCUGAGGACUCUAGACAGACUGCCUGGGUAACCAGGAGGAAGGUGAGGACGACGUCAAGUCAUCAUGGCCCUUACGGCCAGGGCUACACACGUGCUACAAUGGGGUAUACAAAGAGCCGCAAUACCGUGAGGUGGAGCAAAUCUCAUAAAAUAUCUCCCAGUUCGGAUAGUAGUCUGCAACUCGACUACUUGAAGUUGGAAUCGCUAGUAAUCGUAGAUCAGCAAUGCUACGGUGAAUACGUUCCCGGGUCUUGUACUCACCGCCCGUCACACCAUGGGAGUUGAUUUCAUUCGAAGCGGGGAUGCUAAAAUAGCUACCUUCCACAGUGGAAUUAGCGACUAGGGUGAAGUCGUAACAAGGUAACC